GCGGCUGAUAACGGAGGAAAGAGCAGCUCUGAGGGAAGGGAAACGUGACGGCGUUAAUCUGCAGCAGCAGGAGGGAACCUGAAGGGACUGAAAGCUCCUGCAGGCCUCUGGAUAAUGUUAGCGUCACCUGCACACACAUGAACACUCUGCAGCCGGAGAUACCCAGAGCAGGUAGAAGAGCAUCCUGAACCUCUGAUAGCAGCAAGCUAACACCAGCCGACCAGACCGCUAGCAGGUAGAAGAGCAUCCUGAACGGCCGAUAGCAGUGAGCCAACACCAGCCGACCAGACCGCUAGCAGGUAGAAGAGCAUCCUGAACCUCUGAUAGCAGUGAGCUAACACCAGCCGACCAGACCGCUAGCAGGUAGAAGAGCAUCCUGAACGUCCGACAGCAGCGAGCUAACACCAGCCGACCAGACCGCUAGCAGGUAGAAGAGCAUCCUGAACCUCUGAUAGCAGCCAGCUAACACCAGCCGACCAGACCGCAAGCAGGUAGAAGAGCAUCCUGAAAGGCUGAUAGCAGUGAGCUAACACCAGCCGACCAGACCGCUAGCAGGUAGAAGAGCAUCCUGAACCUCUGAUAGCAGCAAGCUAACACCAGCCGACCAGACCGCUAGCAGGUAGAAGAGCAUCCUGAACCUCUGAUAGCAGCAAGCUAACACCAGCCGACCAGACCGCUAGCAGGUAGAAGAGCAUCCUGAACGGCCGAUAGCAGCGAGCUAACACCAGCCGACCAGACCGCUAGCAGGCAGAAGAGCAUCCUGAACGGCCGAUAGCAGCGAGCUAACACCAGCCGACCAGACCGCUAGCAGGCAGAAGAGCAUCCUGAACGGCCGAUAGCAGUGAGCCAACACCAGCCGACCAGACCGCUAGCAGGUAGAACAGCAUCCUGAACGGCUGAUAGAAGCGAGCUAACAACAGCAGAACAGAACAUGCUAGCAGGUCUGCAGAAUAACAACAAAGAGUCACUGCGCUUCAAAGAGCAGCUCGUCUUCCGUCUUUGGAAUUAAGAGGAACAAAACAUACGUUUGUUUUUUAUCUUUCAUCUGACAAUUCUGCAUUAAUAAACUCAGUAACAACAUCAGAUCUGCAGCGCCAGCGUGAGGUGCGUCUCAUUUUGGUCCUUUUCCUAUUUUUGAUGGUGGUUUUGUCUCCAUUUAGUUCUUUCAUUCCGCGAUGUGAC